UACAGAGGUCUCAAGCGUUGUUCGGAAUUACUGGGUGUAAAGGGUUCGUAGGCGGUGUGGCAAGUCGGGAGUGAAAUCUCUGGGCUCAACUCGGAGACUGCUUCCGAAACUGCUGUGCUGGAGUGUGGGAGAGGCGCGUGGAAUUGCAGGUGUAGCGGUGAAAUGCGUAGAUAUCUGCAGGAACACCCGUGGCGAAAGCGGCGCGCUGGACCACUACUGACGCUGAGGAACGAAAGCUAGGGGAGCAAACAGG
rnacentral:rRNA from 1 species